CCGCCUCCAUCUAAUUGAGACUCUGCCUCUUUAGCAAAUCAGGCAAAAGCUUUACUUCUGCUCUACCCUCUGCUUCACCGAGAUAGAAAGCUGAGCAUUUCUCUUAUAAAUCUUCAACUCCUCAAAGGAAGAAGCGAUGAUGGCAGGGAAUCUUUCUGGAAACUGCUUUGUCUUUUGGUAGAUAAUAUUUUGAAGAAAACAACAACAACAAACUCUUUUUGACUUUCUCCAUGAAUACAACAAAUAGGAGAAUAAAAAGGAGGGAGAAAGAGAAUCAAGAUCAACAGUUCAAGGCUGAUUGCUAUGAAGCAGAGGUCAGACAUACCUUCUCUCUACAACUUUUUACAAAUUCUAACACCAGCCGUCCCUGCCAUGGUACUCUCUACUCCUCUGCUGGGUUCCAUAAUUCAGUGCAAUGGCCACACAGAAUUCACAGAGAAUACUCACAAUUAUGGGAUUUAUUAGGAACAGUAACGAGAAAAGCUACAUCGAGGAUGAAUCUGUGGAUUCCCAAUUCUCCCAAUUGAAGAUACCCAGAAAUAUCUAAAGAAAGGAUUCAAAACGCUUGUUUAAGUGGGAUAUGUUUAAAAGGAUGUAUGACAUCAAAAGCUGAUGAAGUCUUAGAUGCAUGUUUGCCAAAAUAAUAAAGCUUCUGCAUUUUUCUAUAAUUGAUCAUAUUAUAAUUCACAAACAUUAGAUUCAUUGAAGCUAAUAAUU